UGGGGAAUAUUGGACAAUGGGGGCAACCCUGAUCCAGCCAUGCCGCGUGAGUGAUGAAGGCCUUCGGGUUGUAAAGCUCUUUUGGCGGGGACGAUGAUGACGGUACCCGCAGAAUAAGCCCCGGCUAACUUCGUGCCAGCAGCCGCGGUAAGACGAAGGGGGCAAGCGUUGUUCGGAAUUACUGGGCGUAAAGGGCGCGUAGGCGGUUUGUUUAGUCAGGCGUGAAAGCCCUGGGCUUAACCUGGGAUGUGCGCUUGAUACUGGCAGGCUUGAGUGUGGGAGAGGUUGGUGGAAUUCCCAGUGUAGAGGUGAAAUUCGUAGAUAUUGGGAAGAACACCGGUGGCGAAGGCGGCCAACUGGACCACAACUGACGCUGAGGCGCGAAAGCGUGGGGAGCAAA
rnacentral:rRNA from 1 species